rnacentral:lncRNA from 1 species
UUUUGAUCUUUUCAUUUAACACCAUUUUCUUGAUGAUCACCAACUCAUCAUUCUCAUCCUUUUGACUUCAUCAAUUCCUGAUGUUCAUUUGGUUCACAUAUUCUCUACCAAUAUCCAUCGACAUGCCUUCUUGUCAUCAAUCACAACCUAAAAUUAUUGAUCCUCAACCAAUAAGCUAUCAACUCUUUGUCUUGCUGUCGAAUCUCAGCCUAACAAACCAUCUAAUCAAAAUAAUUAGCCUUGGGCAUCUGGUUAUCAUUAAUCACCAAAACUCACCAUGGCACAAUUCUAGAGGCUAGAU